AUGGGCAGUGAUCAACAUCUAGUCAACAGCAUUACGUUCCUUCAGUCUCCAUCGAAGGUGCUGAUGCCUGGGAGUUACGCGGAAAUUAGUUGCGGCCAUGACCGAAGUGAUCAUUAUUAUAUGUAUUGGUACCAUCAACCAGGAGCCAGUGGUGCUUUGAAACUCAUAUCCACUGGCUACAUGACGCAGGAAGCUAACCUUGAAAACGAAUACAAAGACCGAUUUACAUUCACGAAGCAGGAGGUCACGAAGGGUGUCCUGAAUAUCGCCAAUGUCAUGUUGAAUGAAGCAUGCAGGAAGAGAUCUGCUAGUUGUGUUUCGUUUUUGUAUGACACUCUAGUACUGUGGGGAUGGGGGGACACCGUGCCUGCUUACUUUGGAAAAGGCACUAAGCUGACCGUUCUUGAAAAAGAUGUCACAGAACCAACACUGGAAAUCCUCAGUCCAUCACAAAAUGAACUUUGCAAAAGGAAUCGGGUGACGCUAAUUUGUCUAGCAACUGAUUUUUAUCCUGACCACAUAAGUAUUACCUGGGAUUUGCCAGAACUGAACGAACCAACAAGAAUUAAGACUGACACCCCAGUGCUGAAUGGCCACACAAAGUUAUAUAGCGUCAGCAGCCGAUUAAGAGUGCCCAAAAGUGUCUGGUGCAACCCUGAUAACAAGUUUACCUGCAUUGUGACGUUUGGCAUGGAAAAUGGAACUGAGACUUACAGGAGAUCUAUACACGGAUCACAAGAUUGUGUCAAGAAGACUGAAUUAGUGAAGAAAAACAACAACACUGCAAAAUUUGUAUAUCUUAUGUUCUUCGGAAAAAGUGUGCUUUAUGGAUUGCUAAUUAGUGUUUUUAUGUGGAAAAUGAAGCCACACUCUAAAGAUUCCAGAUGAUAAAUGAGGAAAAUAGGAAACCUGAAAUUGUUUUUCUUUUUCUUUAUUGAAAAUUCACUAUAAAACAUAAGUUGUAUUCUGUAUGAAUUAUUGAUUUUGUUUUUCUGCACUAUGAGUUGAUUUUGCUUUUUCUGUCCUGCAUGUCAUUUACAGAAGUUUUUUUCCAAGUCAAAGUUGUUUCUGUUUUUAAUGUAGUAAAAUGUUUAAUAAGCAUUGUGAUGUAAUGUUCAGUUAUUGGGGUUAAAACUUUUGUUAUAUCCUGCAUAAUAAUAAAUUUUAUUAAACUUUCUUAAAA